UACAGAGGUCUCAAGCGUUGUACGGAAUCACUGGGCGUAAAGGGUGCGUAGGUGGCGUGGCAAGUCAGAUGUGAAAGCCCAGGGCUCAACCCUGGAAUUGCAUCCGAUACUGCCAUGCUAGAGUACUGAAGAGGUGACUAGAAUUCUCGGCGUAGCAGUGAAAUGCGUAGAUAUCGAGAGGAAUACCAAAGGCGAAGGCAGGUCACUGGGCAGUUACUGACACUGAGGCACGAAGGCUAGGGGAGCAAACGGG
rnacentral:rRNA from 1 species